CAGAAAGAAAACAAUCUUUCGGAAUUGUGCUCUCAGAUUAUAUGUGAGAAAGUUGGCUUUUGUUAAUACACUACAGUACUACACGAGAAGUUUCAACACCAUUACCAGCCCAAAGAUGUAGAAACAUAAGGAAAGCGUAAACAGUUAAUUCCUGACCCGCUGACCGUGGCGCUAGUCCAUUCAACCAAACUGAAUCAAAUCGCGUUUGUUCUCCGCGAUGUUUUCCGGGUAGUAUGUCUAGAAC